rnacentral:rRNA from 1 species
GAUGAACGCUGGCGGCGUGCCUAAUACAUGCAAGUCGAACGCUGGAAAUCUAGCUUGCUAGAUUGAAGGAGUGGCGAACGGGUGAGUAAUACAUAAGCAACCUACCCACGAAGACUGGGAUAAUCUCUGGAAACGGGGACUAAUACCGGAUAGGUAAUCGGAAGGCAUCUUCUGAUUAUUAAAGGUUAAAAACACUGGUGGAUGGGCUUAUGGCGCAUUAGUUAGUUGGUGAGGUAACGGCCCACCAAGACGAUGAUGCGUAGCCGGCCUGAGAGGGUGAACGGCCACAUUGGGACUGAGACACGGCCCAGACUCCUACGGGAGGCAGCAGUAGGGAAUUGUCGGCAAUGGGGGAAACCCUGACCGAGCAACGCCGCGUGAGGGAUGACGGCCUUCGGGUUGUAAAGCUCUGUUGUAAGGGAAGAACGGUAGAUAGAGAAUAUCUAAAUGACGGUACCUUACCAGAAAGCCACGGCUAACUACGUG